rnacentral:tmRNA from 32 species
GGGGCUGAUUCUGGAUUCGACGGGAUUUGCGAAACCCAAGGUGCAUGCCGAGGGGCGGUUGGCCUCGUAAAAAGCCGCAAAAAAAUAGUCGCAAACGACGAAACCUACGCUUUAGCAGCUUAAUAACCUGCUUAGAGCCCUCUCUCCCUAGCCUCCGCUCUUAGGACGGGGAUCAAGAGAGGUCAAACCCAAAAGAGAUCGCGUGGAUGCCCUGCCUGGGGUUGAAGCGUUAAAACGAAUCAGGCUAGUCUGGUAGUGGCGUGUCCGUCCGCAGGUGCCAGGCGAAUGUAAAGACUGACUAAGCAUGUAGUACCGAGGAUGUAGGAAUUUCGGACGCGGGUUCAACUCCCGCCAGCUCCACCA